UUUCAAACCACAGCAGGAAGGCGAAGCCCUGGGCAACACGCUGGCCUCCCGGUUCAGUGACUCCAGGUUCCCAGCCCCGGAGACAGGCCCCGCCUCAUGGACUUACCCCUAGCAUCUCUCUGCCUCAAAGGAUGCUGGCCAGCUCUGUGGUGGGAGCAGCCUGAAAGUCCCUGGGAUCUGGGAACUUUUAUCGUUCUGAGGAACAAGAAAAACAGAGACACCUGGAAAAGCUUUGCAGGAGGAGUGGCCACAGGUCACCUGGUAGCAUGUACAUGUCUGCAGGGCCCAGCUGAGUUCUGGGGGAUGGAAGGUGGCUCCAGGAAAUGGUGACCUGAGGAACAGAUGGCCCCAGAGCCCCAUGAAACCUGUAAAGGAGUCUAGAGCCCUAAGUUGCUUCUCUCAAAGGUCCUGCUGAUUUCCUGAUUAAAAGAUUAAAAGAGCCGGGCACAGUGGCUCAUGCCUGUACUCCCAGCUGUUUGCAAGGCCGAGGCAGGCAGAUCACCUGAGGUCAGGAGUUCGAGACCAGCUUGGACAACAUGGUGAAACCCCGUCUCUACUAAAAAUACAAAAAUUAGCUGGGCGUGGUGAUGUGUGCCUGUAAUCCCAGCUAUUCCGGAGGCUGAGGCAGGAGAAUUGCUUGAACCCAGGAGGCAGAGGUUGCAGUGAGGCGAGGUUGUGCCAUCACACUCCAGCGUGGGAACAAGAGCGAGACUUUGUCACACACACACGUACACGAAGAGUAAAAGUGAAUCAUUCCCAAAAAGAAUAGAUUUGGAUAUUUUCUCAGAAAUUUUCUCUUCCAAACCUGUAGCUGUUUACAGGUCCCCAUUACAUAAGGUGGCUUUUGAUCACUUUCAAUGCAAUGUACUUUCUGAUAUGUGAUAUGGAUUUAAAAUAACUCACAACCAACUUAUUAUAAGAAUGCACUCUCCUUUAGGACAUGGACAUUUGAGGAACCACCUCUGAGCUCAGUAUUUUAGCCUGAAUCUACCUUCAAAUCUAAAAAGAUUAUCGUAUAUUUUUGAGCCCAAAAUAGGACGAAAAGUGUUGGAUUUCUUGCCAGUGUUUUAGUCUUCUUUUCGUCCUGGCUUAGAGCUUUACUGUGGCAUAACUGGUGCACAGUAAACUGCACAUCUUUAAAACCUACACGGUGAGGAGUUCUGACUUAUCUCCACACCAGCGAGACUUAGACCACAGUCAGAAAAACGAGGCUCCUAUCACCCCAGAGUUCUCCGUCACUCGCUCUCCGCGAGCCCCUUGCCAGGAAGAGCUGCUUCCUGGCAUUAUAGAUGUGUCUGCAUCUUCUUGAAUUGUGCAACAUGGAAUCAUACAGUGCCUGCUGUUCUGCUGCCAGCUGUUCUUGCUCAGUGUGAUGUGUUCGAGAUUCAGCAACACAGGACGCAUCAGCAGCUGCUGCCCUUUCAUUGCCGAGCCCUCCUCCAUUGCACCAAUACAUCCUGAUUGGUCUAGCCAUUGACUUGCUGGUGGAUAUCUAGGUCGUUUCUAGGUGUUAGUUGUCACAAAUAAAGCUACAAUAAAUAUUAGUGUGCACGUAUGUUUAUUGCGGC
rnacentral:lncRNA from 1 species